AGGGAGCAGUGGAGGCCAACCCUUCUCCUGCAGUGGGGAUUACCCCGUCAGCAGAGUCCCCAGGGCCUUUGUGGGGUGGGGAGCAGAGCAGGCUUUCACCUGGGCCCUAAAUCCGUGUUCCCCUGCAAAAGGAACCUGGACAUGCUGGAGAGGUGGGACAGUGCCAACCCCCUGAAGGUUGUCAGUUAAAUGUUUGAAGAAGGAACCAAGCCCAGGAAAGUGGGAGUUGCCCAGAGAGGCUCCUCAGUGUGAUCCAGGUUGUCGGUUAAAUGUUUGGAGAAGGAAACAAGGCCAGAAAAGUGGGAGCUGCCCAGAGAGGCUCCUCAGUGUGAUUCAGGUUGUGGGUUAAAUGUUUGGAGAAGGAGCCGAGCCCAGAAAAGUGGGAGUUGCCCGGAGAGGCUUGUCAGUGUGAUCCAGGUUGUCGGUUAAAUGUUUGGAGAAGGAACUGAGCCCAGGAAAGUGGGAGUUGCCCAGAGAGGCUCCUCAGUGUGAUUCAGGAAUCUCAGGAUACAAACAUCCAGACUGGCUCUGUUGCCCUGGAAAUCUGGGACUUUCCUCUGCAUAUCCCCAGCGAUGGCUUUAGCCGUCCUCUCAUAGACGGCCCGGCGAAGAGCUGGGGCAAGCUUGUCACAAAGGAAAACAGCAAAAGCUGUGACAGAAGUGGCUCCUUGGCAGGAAAUCUGGAAACAUGUGAAGAAAUCUUCUCUCUUGUUGUUUAGGUAGGUGACUGGGUCAUUUGCCUUCUGGAAUGCUUCGUGCAUGGCUUUAAACCUUUCUGCUGCUGUUCUGCAGAGGUACAGAGAUAAAUCUAUGAUGUAAUCUUUGUUAACACUAAAUGGUGCAUCGCUGGGGACGUUGUUCACACCUUCCUGUACUUCAUGGAGUAUUUCAUGAAUAAAGGUUCGACUGUAAUCCCGUUUCUCCUGUUCCUUCUUAUCAAUGUUUGCCCACACACGAUAUAUGAUGUUGUCUGUGAUAUCCUGCAAGUUCACAUCAGCAUUGGAAGCAUUCCAUGGGAGGUAUGUUUUCCAAUCCUUUGUGACAUGUUUCUUCAAGUCCAAGGAAAAUCCUGUGUGUUUUGGAAAUGACCUGAUCCGUGCAUGGAAACCAGGCUCCGUAAAACGCUCCAGAAGGACAUCUUCUAUUUCCGCAUCGAUAUCCACCCGUUCCAGUGGGGGAGCAGCAUGGUAGACUUUAGGAAUCCACCUGUUCCAGAGAGAAGUAAAGCUGUCUCUUAGUUCUCUCUGACUGAGGCUCUUGCCUUUCAGAGUCAGAGCCAACUCCUUGCUCCUUCUCAGGAGUUCGUCUUCAUAUUCCGACUUCCUUGCAUCCAGUUUACUCUGGGUCUUCUGCAGUUCAAUGAGAUUCUCACAUUUCUUCCGAGUUUCAAGAACAAGGUUCUCCUUUAGUUCUUUCAGCUUCAGCUCUGUGCUGCCUUUCCACUGGACCAGCAUCUCACAGUGUUUGUCUUCCCUGAAAUACUUUUCCAUGUCUGUCACGAUGGCAUCACUUGUCUCUUGCACGAGCCCUUCCAGGUGUUCUCUGGUGACUUGCUGCAAGUCCCCGUUCCGAAUUCUGUUGUCGAGUCUCAUUUGUACGUCUAAGAUGUGACUCCUGAGCCUCCAGGUCCACUGACUAAAGGCAGUUUCCAGUUUCCUGUAGACAGCAAUCUCCAGUGAAUUCUUGAAGCUGAAAACAAAGUUCUCGUUCAGCAAAGCAUUCCAGAGGUCACCAAUACGGACUUUCAGGCUGGAGAGCGUCAAAAUGCUGCCCUGGGACUCCCUGGCAGCCUGGAGAACUUUGCUCUUCAGUUGCUGGACGUUGUGGCUGUAGGUGGGGUUGGGUGGUGCCAUUGGGGGGUUUCCUUCCCACAGGUGAGCAAAGUAGUGAAUGUGGGUGUUCACGUCAAAGCGGAUGACGUCGCUGAAGGAGGAGACGUCACAGCAUUCCUGCUGGGCAGCUACCACGGUCAUUUCAUCCAGCUUUUCCUGAAGACGUCUUUGUCCUUCCAUGUUCUGCUCCUUGGCAGUAACUUCUCCCACGUUUUGGUGGACAAAGAGGCAGCCGGGGGAAAGAUUUACUUUCUUCAUCCUCAGAAAAGCCUGCACAGCGAUCUGAAGA